rnacentral:rRNA from 1 species
AGAAAGGGGGCAGUUUACUGCUCUCGCUAUUAGAUGAGCCUAAGUCGGAUUAGCUAGAUGGUGGGGUAAAGGCCUACCAUGGCGACGAUCUGUAGCUGGUCUGAGAGGAUGAUCAGCCACACCGGGACUGAGACACGGCCCGGACUCCUACGGGAGGCAGCAGUGGGGAAUAUUGGACAAUGGGGGCAACCCUGAUCCAGCCAUGCCGCGUGUGUGAAGAAGGCCUUUUGGUUGUAAAGCACUUUAAGCAGUGAAGAAGACUCCAUGGUUAAUACCCAUGGACGAUGACAUUAGCUGCAGAAUAAGCACCGGCUAACUCUGUGCCAGCAGCCGCGGUAAUACAGAGGGUGCAAGCGUUAAUCGGAAUUACUGGGCGUAAAGCGAGCGUAGGUGGCUUGAUAAGUCAGAUGUGAAAUCCCCGGGCUUAACCUGGGAACUGCAUCUGAUACUGUUAGGCUAGAAUAGGUGAGAGGAAGGUAGAAUUCCAGGUGUAGCGGUGAAAUGCGUAGAGAUCUGGAGGAAUACCGAUGGCGAAGGCAGCCUUCUGGCAUCAUAUUGACACUGAGGUUCGAAAGCGUGGGUAGCAAACAGGAUUAGAUACCCUGGUAGUCCACGCCGUAAACGAUGUCUACUAGUCGUUGGGUCCCUUGAGGACUUAGUGACGCAGCUAACGCAAUAAGUAGACCGCCUGGGGAGUACGGCCGCAAGGUUAAAACUCAAAUGAAUUGACGGGGGCCCGCACAAGCGGUGGAGCAUGUGGUUUAAUUCGAUGCAACGCGAAGAACCUUACCUGGUCUUGACAUAUCUAGAAUCCUGCAGAGAUGCGGGAGUGCCUUCGGGAAUUAGAAUACAGGUGCUGCAU